rnacentral:rRNA from 1 species
CACGUAGGCACCAAGCGUUAUCCGGAUUUAUUGGGCGUAAAGAGCUCGUAGGCGGUUCGGUAAGUCGGGUGUGAAAACUCUGGGCUCAACCCAGAGAGGCCACCCGAUACUGCUGUGACUAGAGUGCGGUAGGGGAGCGGGGAAUUCCUGGUGUAGCGGUGAAAUGCGCAGAUAUCAGGAGGAACACCAGCGGCGAAGGCGCCGCUCUGGGCCGUAACUGACGCUGAGGAGCGAAAGCAUGGGUAGCAAA